AUACGUAGGGUCCAAGCGUUGUCCGGAAUUAUUGGGCGUAAAGAGCUCGUAGGCGGCUAGUCGCGUCUGGUGUGAAAGUCCAUCGCUUAACGGUGGAUUUGCGCUGGAUACGGGCUGGCUUGAGUGUGGUAGGGGAGACCGGAAUUCCAGGUGUAACGGUGGAAUGUGUAGAUAUCUGGAAGAACACCGAUGGCGAAGGCAGGUCUCUAGGCCAUUACUGACGCUGAGGAGCG
rnacentral:rRNA from 1 species